rfam:Picea glauca, whole genome shotgun sequence.
CUCAUGGAGAGUUUGAUCCUAGCUCAGGAUGAACACUGGCGGCAUGCUUAACACAUGCAAUUCAGACGGGAAGUGGUGUUUCCAGUGGCGAACAGGUGAGUAACGCGUAAGAACCUGCCCUUGGGAGGGGAACAACAACUAGAAACAAGGUGACGAUCAGUAGCUGGUCCGAGAGGAUGAUCAACGACACUGGGACUGAGACACAACCCAGACUCCUACGGGAGGCAGCAGUGGGGAAUUUUCCACAAUGGGCGAAAGCUUUAUGGAGCAAUGUCGCGUGAAAGCAGAAGGCCCACGGGUCAUGAAAUUCUUUUCUCAGAGAAGAAACAAUGACGGUAUCUGAGGAAUAAGCAUCAGCUAACUCUGUGCCAGCAGUCAUGGUAAGACAGAGGAUGCAAGUAGGUGGCUUUUCAAGUCUGCCGUCAAAUCCCAGGGCUCAACCCUGGACAGGUGGUGGAAACUACCAAGCUGGAGUACAGUAGGGGCAGAGUGAAUUUCCGGUGGAGCGGUGAAAUGCGUUGAGAUUGGAAAGAACACCAACGGUGAAAGCACUCUGUUGGGCCGACACUGACAUUGAGAGACGAAAGCUAGGGGAGCAAAUGGGAUUAGAUACCCCAGUAGUCCUAUCCAUAAACGAUGGAUACUAAGUGUUGUGCAUAUCGACCCGUGCAGUUCUGUAGCUAACGCAUUAAGUAUCCCGCUUGGGGAGUACGUUCGCAAGAAUGAAACUCAAAGGAAUUGACGGGGGCCCACACAAGCGGUGGAACAUGUGGUUUAAUUCGAUGCAAAGUGAAGAACCUUACCAGGGCUUGACAUGCCGUGAAUCCUCCCGAAAGAGAGGAGUGCCUUUGGGAACGUGGACACAGGUGGUGCAUGGCUGUCAUCAGCUUGUGUCGUAAGGUGUUGGUUUAAGUCCCGCAACGAGCGCAACCCUCGUGUUUAGUUGCCAGCAUUGAGUUUGGAACCCUGAACAGACUGUCGAUGAUAAGCCGAAGGAAGGUGAGGAUGACGUCAAGUCAUCAUGCCCCUUACGCCCUAGGCGACACACGUGCUACAAUGACUGGGACAAAGGGUUGCGACCCCGUGAGGGAAAGCUAACCUCAAAAACCCGACCUCAGUUCGGAUUGCAGGCUGCAACUCGCCUGCAUGAAGCCAGAAUCGCUAGUAAUUGUCGGUCAACCAUACGGCGAUGAAUCUGUUCCCGGGCCUUGUACGCACCACCCGUCACACUAUGGGAGCUGGCCAUGCCCCAAGUCAUUACCUUAACUGCAAGGAGGGGGAUGUCGAAGGCUGGGCUAGUGACUGGAGUGAAGUCGUAACAAGGUGGCCAUACUGGAAGGUGCGGUUGGAUCACCUCCUUU